rnacentral:lncRNA from 1 species
UUCUAUUUGAAGAGUCCACCUUUGUGGAUGUUUUCUUUUAUUAUCAUUUAACUAAUUCAAUUUUAUAAAAAUAAAUCAGUGCUUUUGUCUGCAUCCUUCUUUACAAAGCCUGUGCAGCUUAUUGGACUCCCUACCCCAGAAGUGGAUCUUAAAAAUGGGUAUAUUAACAUAACAAAAAAUAAAAUAUUUCCCAGGUGCUAAAUAUUAGACCCUCUUAACUGUUUCUAAAAGGAUUUUUUUCUCCUUUAUAUGGUUUCCUCCUUCCUUUACAUGACAUUUCAAAAUAAAUUAUCCUUGACCUUGUGUGGUCAUUAACAAAUUUCAAUCGCUUAGUGCCAUUGAUUGGUGUCCACAGCUGGUGCCACGUCUAUGGAAUGUGGGUGAAAGCGAUCAUGGCUGUGCUCGAAGAAGAGGUAUUACAAAGAGGAGGGAAGAAGAAGGCCUUCUUCACAUGUCUUUCCCGAGUCUUGACUGAAACUAUACUGACCAUUGGCUCCGGGAUAGGACAUCUGUUCUAGCAUGCCUGGCUCCAGUUUCUUCCUAGGUUUCUGAUAUUGUCUUUCCUAAGCAUUUUCUGCUGAAAUGAAGGCCUUCUCAGCGCCUAAACCCAGGCUGCUAUGCUACUAUAGAAAGUCCCACAACUGGUCAGACUGUUGUCUCCAUAAAAGGAUGGCCAUCAUCUUCAGCUGCGCUCUUGAAAUGGAACUGCCUGGCAAGCUUCUAUGUUUCCCUGACACUGAACUCAUCAUUAUUGUCAGCAUCAGUCAUCAUGGUGAGUCACCAUUAUUACCAUCAGAGCCAAGCAAAAAUAUUCGGGACUCAUGAGCAAUCCAUUGCCAGUGCAAGUGUCUUCUGUUCUUCUUAGUGUACCCACUGAGAUUUGGGGUUCGGGCAACUGGAGCAAAUACUGAUACUCUGGCUGCUGCUGUUGCCCCAUGCCCGAGUGUUGUCCUCAAGUGGAUUCGACCCAAACUUCUGCGAGAUAAAGGCUUGAUCAUAACCAGGAGACAUCAGGUCAUCUCAGGGGACAAGCCACAGACUUCGACAGUUUCUUCAGUGACCCACGCACGGGUAGGACAUUCCACAACAGUUCUUGGAUCCUAGCACGAGGCCAUGUAGGGAAAACAAUGCUCUAAAACCAGCACUUGCAAAACUGUCUCUCAAGACUGUUCCCUUCCCAUCAAAUUAUGAGGAUCUAUCCAGGCUCUGGUAUUGUCAGGACGAGGGCCCUCUCCAGCUUCGCUCACCAACCUGUGCAUAAGAUGUUGCCAGAGCAUUGUCUCAGCAAUCCCAAGACCUGUGCAAGCCCCUGUUGGCACCCUUCCAGGACCCUGUCCCAUACUUGUAGACUCUUCUCGAGCACAGCCUUGACUGGAGAUGAACUGACUCCACAGUCCCACGCUCAUCAUCACUUGGCCUGAGAAGGC